GCCUGACUGGCUCAGUUGGUAGAGCAUCUGACUCUUAAUCUCGGGGUUAUGAGUUCGAGCCCCAUGUUGGGUA
rnacentral:tRNA from 1 species